rnacentral:rRNA from 1 species
CCUACGGGAGGCAGCAGUGGGGGAUAUUGCACAAUGGGGGCAACCCUGAUGCAGCGACGCCGCGUGGGUGAAGAAGCGCCUCGGCGCGUAAAGCCCUGUCAGCAGGGAAGAAACUGACGGUACCUGCAGAAGAAGCCCCGGCUAACUACGUGUCAGCAGCCGCGGUAAUACGUAGGGGGCCAGCGUUAUUCGGAUUUACUGGGGGUAAAGGGGGCGCAGACGGCGAUGCAAGCCAGGAGUGAAAGCCCGGGGCCCAACCCCGGGACUGCUCUUGGAACUGCGUGGCUAGAGUGCAGGAGGGGCAGGCGGAAUGCCUGGUGUAGCGGUGAAAUGCGUAGAUAUCAGGAGGAACACCGGUGGCGAAGGCAGCCUGCUGGACUGCAACUGACGUUGAGGCCCGAAAGCGUGGGGAGCAAACAGGAUUAGAUACCCGAGUAGUC